rnacentral:lncRNA from 1 species
CCAUUCCACUCAUCAUCCUCUUCUUCAGUUAUCUUCACUUUUUUUACCCUUUUUAGCUGACCUAGUUCUCUUGGCUAGAGAGGCUUCAGUAGGUACAGAUUUGGAAGGCUUCUUGGCAGAAGACAUGGUUCCCUUUGAUUUAGCAGUGGGAAAUUCCACAGUAGUACCACUAUCUUUAUGGACCAGUUCCAUGUAUUCCUCCUCCUCUUCAAUAACAGCCUCAGAACGUUCACCUAUUUUUGCUUUCCCCCUUUAUUUCCUCUUUUUCUUACUCUCCUCUAGAGCUUUCUGCAAUUCUGCUUCACUCUCCCGAACUUGACUUCUUGUGGUUCUAACCCUAGGAGCGGACUUGGGUGAUGAAGUUUUGCUUUUCUUGGUUGGUUUCGACGCAGCAGGGGUACUUUGUAAGGAUGCCUUGCGUUUCUUUGGGCCAUAACUAGCCCCAACGCUCUUCAGCAUAUCCACCAAAGUUUCUUCUGCAGAUGAACCAGGUUCAUCAGGUUGUUCACUCAAGUUAACUAAUCCCUCUUCAACUUCUCCUGGCCCACUUCCCCCUGACUUCAAGCCUCCCUCUACCCACUACCACAUAUAGCUAACACCUCCUUCUUCUUUUUUGUUUUCAUUUCACCAAACUGAGCCCCAUCAACAUCCUUAGCAACCCCUAUCAGAAAAAACCUAUUUUCCUCCUUCUAACUACAUCAGAAAAUGCAAAACAUGUGCUUACCUCUUCUUGGGUUUCUUGAGCUUUGGAAUUUUCAGAAGACCCAAGUUCAUCUCCCUCACUUGCAGAGAUAUAUUGAUCGGACUCAGAGCUAGAGUCAGUUUCUUUGGCUGGGACUUCUCUUCAGUUUCUUUGGCUGGGACUUCUCUUCUAUGACUGGCCUGUAAUUUUUUAUUUAAAGCCAUCCUCAGGGAACUAGUAGCUACCGUUUUUCUUGCUAACAUUUUCUGGCGACGGAAUCUAGGUUUUGGGGUUUCUAUAGGAAGUGAGGAAGAUGAGGUAGUGUUGGAUGAGACGGGUGGUGGAGUUCCAGGGUUGUCUUGGGGAUUGGUCAUGGUGACGAACUUCUGGAAAUCUUUGGAGAAUUUUGGAGCAGGAAAGUGACGAUCAG